rnacentral:tRNA from 1 species
UGGAGAGUAAACUAAGAUAAGUUGUUGGGCUCAUGACCCGGAUAUAGGCUUUUGUCCUCCUCCUU